GACGAACGCUAGCGACGUGCCUAAGAAUGCAAGUCGAGCGGGGUUAUCGGAGCUUGCUCUGGUAACUUAGCGGCGAACGGUCGCGUAACACGUAAGCAACCUGCCCUGAAGUGGGGGAUAGUCCUCCGAAAGGGGCGUUAAUACCGCAUGUGGACAAUCAUUGGCAUCUGAGGUUGUCUAAAGCAGUAAUGCGCUUUGGGAGGGGCGUUGCGGCCUAUCAGCUAGUUGGUGAGGUAACGGCUCACCAAGGCGACGACGGGUAGCUGGUCUGAGAGGAUGGUCAGCCGGACUGGGACUGAGACACGGCCCAGACUCCUACGGGAGGCAG
rnacentral:rRNA from 1 species